rnacentral:rRNA from 1 species
AUUGAACGCUGGCGGCAGGCCUAACACAUGCAAGUCGAACGAGGGGCGGACGGGUGAGUAAUGUAUGGGGAGCUGCCCGAUGGGGGGGGAUAACUACUGGAAACGGUGGCUAAUACCGCAUACUAUCGGAUAAACCCAUAUGGGAGUAGCUAGUAGGUGGGGUAAAGGCUCACCGAGGCGACGAGGUCUUGCUGGUCUGAGAGGAUGACCAGUCACCCUGGUGCUGAGACACGGCCCAGCAUCCUAAGGGAGGCAGCAGCGGAGAAUCUUGCGCAAGGGGCGCAAGCGUGAUGCAGCCAAGCCGGGUGUAUGAAGAAGGCCUUCGGGUUGUAAAGUACUUUCAGCGGGGAGGCGUUACCCGCAGAAGAAGCACCGGCUAACUCCGUGCCAGCAGCCGCGGUAAUUC